CAUCACGAUCACCAAAGUUAAGCAGUGUCGAGCCUGUUCAAUACUUCGAUGGGUGACAGCUUGGGAAUAACAUGUGCUGAAA